AAAAACAUGUCUAUUUGGUAGAUAAAAAUAGUCUGGCCUGCUCACUGAUAAAUAAAUUAAAGAGCCGCGGUAUAUUGACCGUGCAAAGGUAGCAUAAUCAUUAGUUUUUUAAUUGGAAACUUGUAUGAAUGGUCGGACAAAAGAAAAGCUGUCUGUAUUACAAAUGUUGAAUUUAACUUUUAAGUGAAAAGGCUUAAAUAAUUUAAAGGGACGAUAAGACCCUAUAAAACUUUUAUAUGUUAGUAAAAUUUAAUUAAAUUAUAAAAGUUUAAUUUUACGUUGUAUUUUAUUGGGGCGAUAAAGGUAUAAUUUAUAUAACUGCUUAUAAUGCAAACAAUGAUAUUUGAGUAAUUAAUAAAUGAUCCUUUUUAAAGAUUAAAAGACUAAGUUACUUUAGGGAUAACAGCGUAAUUUCUUUUGAGAGCCCAUAUCGAAAAAGAAGAUUGCGACCUC
rnacentral:rRNA from 1 species